AGAGACAGAGGAAGCAAGAUGGUAUCACAAAUCCAGGUUAUCAUGUCCCUGCUGCUCUGGGUGUCUGGUGCCUCUGCAGAUAUUGUGAUGACCCAGUCUCCAUCCUCACUGGCUGUGUCAGCAGGAGAGAAGGUCAUCAUAAGCUGCAAGUCUAGUCAGAGUCUUUUAUACAGUGGCAAUAACUACUUGGCUUGGUACCAGCAGAAACCAGGGCAGGCUCCUAAACUACUGAUCUAUGGGGCAUCCAAUCGGCACACUGGGGUCCCUGAUCGUUUCACAGGCAGUGGAUCUGGGACAGAUUUCACUCUCACCAUCAGCAGUGUCCAGGCUGAUGACCUGGCAGAUUACUACUGUAUGCAGCAUUAUGAUACUCCUCCCACAGUGCUUCAGCCUCUAACAAAAACCUCUCUGAGAUUCUCACCAGCUGCCUGCACCACACAGCCCUAG